GUUUACGUACAUAGCAAUAUAUUUUUUUUUCCAGACUUUUAAUCACAUUUCAAUUUUUAUAUUUAAUCUAAACUAUAAUUUCAUAUUUACAAAUAUGCAGACCUGCAGCUAAGAUUGAUUGCGAGUACCAGUAUUAGUGUGGUCAAUCACUAUGGGAUACUUCAUAGUCCAUAGUCUGAUUUAGCUUAACCAACAAUUGUCUUUGUUAGAACAAACAGUCCAGACUCACCUGAUAUGAGACGCAUAGGUGUGUUUGUAAACUUUCAGGCACGCAGAGUAAACAAAAUUUCACUCCUCUAGAAAUCCAGUAAAAUGUCUGUGUUGUAAUUUAUUUUUGAACGAAUUCGGAAGUAAUGAUUUUUAAAUCUUGAUUUAUGUUCCUCAAAUAUUCAUCUAGAUUUGAUAUAUGACAGACAAUUUUGUGCAGUUAAAUGCAUAUAUCAAUACAUUUACCUGUUGUCCCCCAAAAUAAAGGUGUAUGACUUCCGGGUCAUAAGGUACAUCCGAUGAUGUCAUAAUGUAUCUUGCAUUUUUAUCAAAUUUUGUCAAUUAUUUUGAUAAUUGUAAUUGAGGUUUUUUUCUUAUUAUGUCUGAAGAUUAGAAAAAAUUU
rnacentral:sRNA from 1 species